UACGAAGGGGGCUAGCGUUGCUCGGAGUUACUGGGCGUAAAGGGCGCGUAGGCGGAUAUCUAAGUUGGGGGUGAAAGCCCGGGGCUCAACCUCGGAAUAGCCUUCAAUACUGGAUAUCUUGAGUACGGGAGAGGUGAGUGGAACUCCGAGUGUAGAGGUGAAAUUCGUAGAUAUUCGGAAGAACACCAGUGGCGAAGGCGACUCACUGGCCCGUUACUGACGCUGAGGCGCGAAAGCGUGGGGAGCAAACAGG
rnacentral:rRNA from 1 species